rnacentral:lncRNA from 1 species
AUGUUUUCUCAUCCAUUAGAAUGUGAACUCCUUGAGGACAUUCUUCCCUCCUUCCUUCUUUCCUUUCUUCCUUCUUCUAUGUCUCUCUCUGUUCCUUCCUUCCUUCCUUCCUUCCUUCCUUCCUUCCUUCAUUCCUUCCUCUCUUUCUCUCUCUCUCUCUCUCUCUCUCUCUCUCUCUCUCUCUCUCUCUCUCUCUCUCUCUCUCUCUCUUUCUCUCUUUCUUUCUCUCUGUCUUUCUUUCUCUCUUUCUUUCUCUCUUUCUUUCUCUCUUUCUUUCUUUCUUUCUUUCUUUCUUUCUUUCUUUCUUUCUUUCUUUCUUUCUUUCUUUCUUUCUUUCUUUCUUUCUUUCUUUCUUUCUUUCUUUCUUUCUUUCUUCCUUCCUUCCUUCCUUUUCCUUUUCCUUCUUUUCUCUCUUCUACCCUCCUCUUCCCUUCUCCCUCCCUUCUUCUUUCCUUCCUUCUCCCUUUCCUUUCCUGUGACCUAAAAUUGGAUUUUUAGUUGCUUUCAGAUUAGCUCCACGUGGAUGUCUCGCCUUUAUUUUCUCAUUGUCACCACAUUCCAAACUGAACUCUUCAUACUUAAUUUUCAAAUCAAUUUAUCACUCUUAUUUAUUUAUUAUUUCUUUUAAUGGCACACCUCAUCUGUCUCUUACAUUUAUUCCUGUUAUGUAUAUGUGGCUGCCAUCAUAAUUUAGCCCCUCCUCAUCAACAAACAAGAGUUUGUCUGAAGAUCAGCCUUUUAAUUUGUUUGUUGAAUUUCCCUCCAAAACUUCAAUCUAACUUGAGGGCUACCACAAGACCAAUCUUAAACUAUUGAUGUGAUCUUGUCAUUUCUCUACUUAAAAACUUCCAUGAUUACCUGGAGUCUAUAGGAUAGCUACCAUACCACUAUGCUUGUGGUGCAAAGUAAGUAUUUAAUAAGUGCUAGUUAAUUGAUUGUCUUAUCCUCAGUGACCAAUUUUAUUAUACCCCCUAUUAAGAUAAAACCAUUGGGCAUACUGUUCUCUGGGUAUGUUUUGAAUUUUCUUACCUUCUUUUUUUAAUUUAUGGUGCUCUUUGCAUCUAGAAUUUCUUUCACUCUCCUAUUCAUUGAAUCUAUCUAAAUCUCCUAUCUUUUAUCCCUAGCUUUCAGACUCAGGAGAAAUCUUCUUCUCUGAAACUGUUCCAACUCUGUUGAGCACCCAAUGAACUCUCAGUUCUCACAAUUUCUAAAGUAUUCCCUAUCUAUAUACUAUCCUCCACUUUAUUCUCUAUGUCACUUUGGUCAAAUCACUUCUCUGAAACUCAGUUUUCUCAUCUGUAAAAUGAAGGAGUUAGACUUGAUUAUCUCUAAAUCAUCUCUGAACCCGUGAUCCUAUGAUAUGAUUUUCCUUGAAAUCUUGAAUCAGAUUCACAUAAAAUUUUUAAAAUUUCUAAAAUUUAAAAAUUUAAAAUCUAGUGCCUAUCCAUGUGCUCUGCACAGAAAUGCCCAAUAAAUGCUUGUUGGUUUUACUCA